rnacentral:misc_RNA from 1 species
GAUGAAGAACGUAGCGAAAUGCGAUAAGUAAUGCGAAUUGCAGAAUUCCGUGAGUCAUCGAAUCUUUGAACGCACAUUGCGCCCUUUGGCAUUCCGAAGGGCAUGCCUGUUCGAGCGUCAUUUAUCAACCCUCAAGCCCGGCUUGCGGUUGGGUCCCGCCGUGGGCGACCACGGCGGACCCGAAAGGUAAUGGCGGUGCCCGUGCGGCCCUGGACGCAGCGAGCUUCUCGGCACGCGUCCCGGCGGUCCCCGGCGCCGUCUCCACCAAUCCACCACGCAGAUUGACCUCGGAUCAGGUAGGGAUACCCGCUGAACUUAAGCAUAUCAAUAAGCGGAGGA